UUUCAUCACAGCAUCCCCAGUGGCAAGCUCGGUGACCAGCACGGAAAAGUUGCUCAGUUGAUGGAGCACCAUGGAAAUUCACUGAAGGCUGCUAGCCAGGAGACUCAAGAAGGAAUUGUCAAAAAGGAGAACUAUCCAAACAUUGUCUUUGCAGCCUAAACAGGAAAGAAAACUCAUAGAGUUCCAAUUCUCAUGCAAGUCACUGGAAUUCAUCCAGCCUAAUUU